rnacentral:rRNA from 1 species
GUGAGGAAUUUUGCGCAAUGGGGGCAACCCUGACGCAGCGACGCCGCGUGGAGGAUGAAGUCUUUCGGGAUGUAAACUCCUGUCAGUGGGGACGAUAAUGACGGUACCCACAGAGGAAGCACCGGCUAACUCCGUGCCAGCAGCCGCGGUAAGACGGAGGGUGCAAGCGUUGUUCGGAAUUACUGGGCGUAAAGCGUACGUAGGCGGCAAGUUAAGUUCAAUGUUAAAGCCCACGGCUCAACCGAGGAGAUGCAUUGAAUACUGGCUAGCUAGAGGGUGUUAGAGGAAGACGGAAUUCCCAGUGUAGCGGUGAAAUGCGUAGAUAUUGGGAGGAACAUCGGUAGCGAAAGCGGUCUUCUGGGACACACCUGACGCUGAGGUACGAAAGCGUGGGGAGCAAACGGGAUUAGAAACCCCAGUAGUCC